ACCGAAACCGAGCUAGGUGGAGCUGGGACGGGGCGGGGCGAGGCGGGGCGGAGCUGGGGAGCCGAGUCAGCCCGGUUUGUGUGUCUUUGGGAACCUUCCGGGUGGGGCUGCUGCGGACCUGGGACCGGGGCGGGAUAGGGUGAGGAUGGAGAUUGCUCGCGCGCUCCGGAUCCUUAUCUGCGCCGGUUGGGGUGUCCCGUGCUGGGCUUGGUAACCUUACUCUCUUUGCUCCUGCGCGGUAGGCUCGGCUGCUGGACUGCCUAGCAGUGCAUGCAGCACAGCAAUUAUCUGGCUCUCCUGCUGUGUCGCUCUUAAAUGCGUGUCUGGAGUUCCUCUGGCGAAUGGUGGGCUGUUUGUCUCAUUUCCUCUGAUGAGACACUUGAGGGAUCCUUGUUGAAAAGACCUCAGCAUCCCCCUUCUGACUGAGUAAAGAGGAAAAACCAUGGCGUCUGACCGCAACAAAUCAGGAAAACAAAUCUGAUUGGCUGCUGGCUUUUUUUCUCACAACCACCUUUGGUGAAUUUUGUGAAACACAGAUCUAUCACAUUCUUUAAAAAUCCUUUCCCUUCUACACGGGUAUCUGGUGUUUAAGGUUGAGUGUGUGUGUGUGUAUCUGUGCGUGUGUGUGUGUGUGUGUGUGUGUGUGUGUGUGUGUGUGUGUGUCUGGUGUUUGAGAUGGGUUUUUGGGUCCCUGUGUGGUAUAACUUAGGGCACACUACUAUUGAGGAACUAAUGGGAAGACGUUUCUAACUCUUCAUUUAUACAUUCUUGAAUAUAACCAUUUUUUCCUCUCAUCAGUUUUAACUGUUAAGGGAGAGUAACAGAUAUAUCCUUCAGAGGGUGGAAGGGUGGGUUCUUAGUGUACUUCAACAUCUAAAGGUCCCUGUGGUAAAUGGACUUCCCAGAUCUCCCCGCCCCUAAAAGCCCCUGACCUGAGUCACUUUUCCGGAGCAAGUCUCUUCCAGGGUAUUUCCUUGCAGGUGGCUGUUCCUAGGAAAGUCAUUUGUCCAGAUUCUUGGCCUUUGAUUCCUCCCCAAGACAGAGUGGCACUCUUAAGACCUCUGGCAUCAAGAUGGUCAUGACCUGAGCACCCAGGAAGGAAGACAGCUGGAGCCAGGUGGGGAGAUAAACAGGGUUCUGGAAAGGCCUCCCGACUACAGUAAGGGAUCAGACUCAGAUUCGUCCAGUGGUCCAACACAGGCUCAGUCUGGCUAUCUGGGCAUCUAGAAUUUUCCCCGAUGAAAUCUGCAAGAAACUGCAGGGGGAAAGUUUGAAACUGCAGAGACCCCAGAGAUGGCGGAGGAAGGAGCUGGGUCUGACUGACCUCAUCUGGUGGCCACUGUGAAUUGUAAUUUGAAAGGAAUCAACCAGAAGCACCUUCUUUCCAUCAUCGCUAGCUGGGGAACUACCCCAGGACCUACCCCUGAUUCUCUGGAGAGCUUGUGUGGGGUUUGCGAUGGAUGUUAUGCUAAUUGUGCUUGAAAGACACCAAGUGAAGAGGAAAUCGAAACCAAUAGAGAAAACUCGUGUGAAAUCUGGAACAUUCACCACACCAGGAUCUUAAAGUCUGGGGUUUUAAGGAUGCAUAGGAGCCAAGAUGUGAGAAUGUGACCAGAAGUUGGAGAAAAGAUGCCCAUAUCAAAUAAGUACCGAAAAGAUGAGGAAAAGGAAGUUGAUUUCCAGGAAAGAAAAAUGAAUAAUCUGGGGAGCUGAAGAAAUAACUUAUUGGUUAAGAGCAUGUGUUGCUUUUCCGGAGAACUCAGGUUUAAUCUCUAGCACCUCCAUGGUAGCUCACAACCAUCUAUCUAUAACUGCUAUCCGAGAAUAUCUAAUUCCCUCUCUUAGCCUCUGCAGGCAAUGAAUGCACGUCACCCAUUAAUGCAGGUAACACACCCCCACAAAA